rnacentral:lncRNA from 1 species
GGUGAUGAGGAAGAGCAAUGGAGGGUUGCUAUUUACAUUGGGCAGCCAUCUGCUCCAUUAGGGAGGAUGGGCUUAUAAGUCGUGCAAUUUGGGUUGACAAGUUUGAGCUCCACGAAUUUUGGAUCUAGUCUAUUGGUUUACGAGUUAGCAAACUAUGGAACGGGGUUAAUCGAGUUAGGAAUACAGUCAGAGUUUGGGCUAGGAUUGGUGUACAGUUUAGGUUAGGGCCAAGGGAUCGGGUGAGAGACUCGAUUGGGUGCGACGACGGCAAUGCAUUAGGGUUAUGGUUUGGGCCAUGGGGUGGC